rnacentral:rRNA from 1 species
UACGGGGGGAGCAAGCGUUGUUCGGAUUUACUGGGCGUAAAGGGCGCGUAGGCGGUCAGCACAAGUCAGUUGUGAAAUCUCCGGGCUUAACCCGGAAAGGUCAACUGAUACUGUGCGACUAGAGUGCGGAAGGGGCAACUGGAAUUCUCGGUGUAGCGGUGAAAUGCGUAGAUAUCGAGAGGAACACCUGCGGCGAAGGCGGGUUGCUGGGCCGUAACUGACGCUGAGGAGCGAAAGCAUGGGGAGCGAACAGG